GGGAGGGAAAACUAACGCAAUCUGGAAUAUAUAAUAACACGUCCUUUCUAACUUUGUAACAAACGUCGCAUUAAUCAAACAGACCCACACACAUUCCUUAUAUACCCUCAACCGAAACCGUCCGUGCAAACACUUAACCCGGGAAAAUAUACACAGUAAGGGAAAACCCCCUUAAUGAUAUAACGGAACGCAAAGAAAUAGAUUUAUU
rnacentral:lncRNA from 1 species